rfam:Gossypium hirsutum cultivar TM-1 unplaced genomic scaffold scaffold743.1, whole genome shotgun sequence
UGUUAAAAACUUCAUUCAUUUCUACUGUUAAAAAAUGGCGUAGCUUAUAAAAUAACCAGAUAGCCACAUGUAUCUUAUGCUGAUGCAUAAAGACCAGCUUUUAAUAGUAGAAAUAAAUGAAUUUUUUAACA